AGAGCCUGUAUGUAACAUGCCAGUGCUUGCAGGACAUGUAUCUACAUGGACUACUAAGAUCCCACAGACUUGUGUCAUGGUGAAGGAGGAGGACAACUCAUCCUUUCGUAGAAAGAACACAAGCAUUGCUGUGAGGUUUUAAUAUCCCACCAUCAGCUACUGGCUUUGUAACCAUUUCAUCACUUUCAUGUCCUUCUGAAAAAGAGAAGUAGUCAUUCUCCAGUGCAAUUAUCUCUGCUUUAAGCAGUCACGAUAAGAGGCCAUGCUAAUUUAAAUCUGUCUUUGGAGGACUUUUUUCAUAAUUGCCCUUCAAAUUCUCUUCUCCAUCCUGCCAAGGUGAUACAUAAGCAACUGCAUAGUGUUUUUUUAUGAACUGUGUCAACAAACUGCAGAGGGAAGCAGGAACAAAUCUAAAAUGGAAAUUGAAGAUAAAAUGAGAAUUAAUUUGCUAAAAGGAAUAUUGGAAUCUGGAUAAAUGCAUUGUCUCAGUCUCUCUUGCUACUUCUAUCUCAAGAUGAAUGAAGAAAAAGAUCUUGUGAAGAAAGAAAAUCUACUGGAGACUAUUUUGUUACUGUUUUCAGGUUUUAGAAUACAUUUGCUUAUUUUUCUUGGAUAUUGAUAUAUGUGAGACGGUGUUUCACAAAGUUCUCUGAUUAGUAAAAAUAACUCAAUAUAGUCAUUACUCUCUGGCGACUGUCUGGCUGUUGCAUAUCCGACCUGAUUGAAUGCCAAGUAUAAUACUCCACUGCUCUCCCUUUCCACUGUCCCCAAAUGUUUAAUAAUUUAAACUACUGACAAUUUAAUUCAGGUUGCUAAUGAAUGAGAAGCUAGAUUUUCAAAUAGCCACAAGGAAAACUCAAUGACUUGAAACCAAUACCAAAUACAGAAAAAAAUCUUGCCUCCUUAAAACAAUUUCAAGAACGAUUUAGUAAAGGAUUUCUUAGGGAAAAUACUUUAAUACAUACUUUAUUUUCCAUUAAAAUUAGCUUAUAUCAUUUCCGUAAGGUAAACUUUUUAAAAAGUAGAAGAAAAACCAUACUGUUCCUUUUCCUGGGGAAUAGCUAUUGUUUGCAAAUGACCCUUCUUCGUCCUCUACACAUUCUUCAAAAUUUAGAACCUCAAAGACAAAAUAUCUUUUUAAUCUUUGUGAAGGAAAUAUCCUGUGUCACCUAUCGUAAGACUAAUGUCUGCUUUAAGGCAAAAAUUUAUUCUCUAUUAAAAUUGUUUUUUGGCCAAAUUUGAAGUUAGAUUCUACAUUAAAUAUAAAUUUCUAUUACUUUUCAGAAGAACU